GCAGCAGAGCCGAUGCACCGCGAACCAAGAGCCGCGGCAGGGCUCUCGCUGUCCGGAGCGGGGAGCGGAGGCACCGCUGGCUGCCGGCGGGGGCGGCCGCAGCCGCGCUCCCGUCAGACGGGCUCCCUCGGCCCCGGGCUCCCCCAGCCCAGACCGACCGCGGGCUCCGGGGCGCACAGCCCCGCCACCUGCCGCUGCCCGCCAGCGCGCGUCGCUCCGCGCUCCCCGCGUCCCCGCCCGGCCGAGGCUGCACUCGGCGGAGCGGGCGCCCGCCGCCCGUCCCCAGCGCCAAGGCUGGCGGGGAGCGCGGCCGCACCGCCGCCGCCCGCCCGCGGACCCGAGUUUCCUCGCUGACGCCCCGCCCGAGCCGCCGAGCGCCGACCCAGGGGGCGGCCCCCGCCCCGCGGAGCGCACCGGGCUAGGGGAGCGGCGGGCCGGCGGCGCCCCGCGCGGGCGUUGGGCCGCGGCGGGCGGGAGCGCAGUCUUACCGUCGGCCAGGAGGCGCAUGGCGUGAACAAAGGAGGGAUCCAGGCUGUCCUUCUCUGCCAUCAGCUCGGGCAGGGCUUGUUGGUUGGGCUGGUUGGUUUUUGGCAGAGGAUGAAGGAAUGAAAAAAAGAUCUUGUCUUCAAGAUGGGAAAGAGGAUUUUGGAAGUGGAUCUAAUAUUUUGGAAUGUUUUGGAAUGCCAUGAAAAGUUGAAAAAUAACAAAUCCACCUGAGCCCAAGAGCAGAUUUCAGAAGAACCUGACCUGCUUUUCUUGUACGCAUAUUUGCAAGUUGGUUGAUAAUCAACUGAUUCUAGAAGAACUCAGUUCUCUAUCAGUUGGGGACAAUAUAAUCUAAUUUUGUUAAAUUCGAAUCACAAAAAUUAUUUGUAUAGUUUGAGUGAUAAUCUCUUGAGCUAAUAGCUUUUUCAUGAUGUUUGCUGAAAUGAAGAUGUUCUUACAAAUGUCAUUCCAACCACAUGGUCAGGCUUUGAAAAGUCAUAUACAAGUCACUUCUCAGAUUCAGAAGGUAAAAAAACUUACUUCAGAAUAAAGAUGCCUCUAUUUUUGCUGACACAGAAGAGGCGUUUAAACAUACUAGAAAUGUUUGCGGUGGAAUUUGCCAAGCACAUUUCAGUGCUGUCCUUUGGAGCAGCUAAUUUUUACACCCCUUGAUCCUUGUUGAAGUGUGUAUCACAGAGUAGUGCUAAAGAAAUGGUAACAGUGCAGAAUUACCACCAUACGUGAAUUUGUUACAUGGAUGUCACAGGCACUAUAGUAAGGAUGCUACCUCUGAAUUGCACUUUUGUCAUGACAAGCUGGCCUACACAUGUUGUUUCCAUGUGCGCUUACCACCUAUUCAAACAUUCACAUCUGCUUGAAAGACAGAUUCUUGGUUCGGAUUCACUUGGGCUAUGCCUUUAAAUGAGACAGUUUGAGUUGACAGCAAAUGAGCAGCCACAGCCAAAAAGUGCUGUAGUACUAUCUAGCUGCUGUAUGGAACAGCUCAGGAACAUGGUGUAACUGCAAUCAAGUGAUCUACAGUUGUGGAGGAGAACUGAAAGACUGAACCGAUGAUACCUUCCUUAGAACAACUGUGCAACAUGGUAAGUACAAAUAUGGAUUGUUAGACAAAUCUCCUGCAAGUGUCCUGUUGGAAUGAGCCUCUUCCAAAAAUACAUGUGCCACCAAUAUGCCACAGCAGUUGUGUAUCCAUAUCAAAUUCUUGGGCAUGGAAUGGGAAAAUAAGAGAAAAUAGCAAUAGCAGGUCAUUGAAAGAAACUACAAAAUAAAGUAUUCUAUGUAACAGAAGUCACUCUGUUCAAAAUUAAGUAUGAUUGUUUUGAGUUAAUUAUCUUAGACUAGCUUCCAAGUAAGCAGAUAAGCAUAUUAUGUUAUAUGGACUAUGCACUGCAGACUGUGAAUCCAAAAUCAAUCAUAAUCACUGAUGAAGACAGAGACUUCUUAGUGGUUUGUCCUGUGUUCAGCAAUUAUACAUUUUGACUGAUGUAUGAGAAAGUGCAGGCAUAGGCUGUGGAUUCACAAAACAUCCCGGUUCCCCAGUGCUGAGUGUAGAUCUAAUGCUAGCUCGUUUGUGUGCCUUUUUGGAAUGUAACAUUGCUAUUUCUGUCUCAACCAAGAAAAAGCUGAAGGUUAAAAACUGAUGAGAAGGGAGCACUGUUAUUACUGUGUGUUUUCUAUAUCAUGGAAGCUUUCAUUAGCCCUUAGAAAAUUGCAGGAAUACCCUCAUUUUCUAGAUGUCUCUAAAAGUCAGCUGAUACCAAUGUAUGAGCAGGUUAACUCUUCUAUGCCAAAUGACGAGAAACUGACUUCAACAAGUUUCUGCCAGGCAAAGUCUUUCUAUUUCAACAAAGAAUACAGAGGUGAUCUCUACAAUGUGAACCAUGCUUUAUCCAGUAUGGUAUGGAUUUGCAUCUUGUGACAUGGACAUUCCGUACAGGCCCGGAUCAACAGCAUCUAAAGCAUCUUGUCCAAAGCUGCAUCUGUAAGAUAGGUCAGAUCAAUUACUUCUUCUUAUGUAGUUUUCCAAUUAUAAUAAAAUCUUAGGUCCUACAUAACAUCAUUUAAUCAAGGGAAGAUAAUGAGCUGUUUGUUGACUGUACACUUGCACAAUGAAUAUAUAUUUUGAUUCUUAAUUCGUGUUAAAAAUCUUAUCAGCAGAUUUGCAAAUCUCGAGUGCUGGAACAUGAAAACCUAUGGGAGUUAUUAUUAUUAAGUACUUUAUUAUUAGUAGUAAUACUAUGUUAGCACUAUAGCUUAGCAAAGGUUAUAAUUUAUAAACAAAAUCUGCAUAAAUACUUUUAAAAAAGCAUCAUUGAAAUUUGUUACCUUACAUAGUAGCACUAGCUUAAAUAUCUAGCUUUUGAUUCACUGCUUACUGGUGUGAAAGAAAAGGUGUUACAAGAGAAAAUAAUGAGCAGCAUUGUCUCAGCAGAAAAGGGGAAGACCCGCAAUGCAUAUCUAAUUUUACUCCACUUGAAAAUUAAAGUUAAAUUAAUGAACUUUAAGAUCAGAAGGGAUCAGUAUGACUACUUUUUCUUUUUUUUAAAUGAGAAUGAAGUGAUGUAUUUGUGUUACACAUUUCCACUCAAGAGAUUUCUAAGAAAAGUAAUAGCCUUUUAUUCAUUUAUUAUUUACAGAUUUUUAAUUUCAAAUUAUGAUAACAUAGUGUUUCAUUGUACAAGGGCUAGUGGAACAAAAUUGGGAGGGGGGAAGAAAUUACAUAGAAGAUUGCUAGUGCUGUACUUUGCCAUUUACUUCCUUUUUAGUUUGAGCGGCCAAGACAUCCCUGUGAUUCAAAAGAAGGAAAAAAUAACUUGUAUUGUAAUCUCCCAAAAGCAGAAAAUACUACAUAUCCUCACGUAUGCACCAACACAUUUCCUGAAAACAUCAAGUCAACAUAGAAUGUGGGUGGAAAUUAGGGUUUUCUGUGUCUGCAAGUGAGGCAAUAAAAUGAGUUCAAGGAUUAUGACAGACCUGUAGUGAUUGAGCUAGAAAUUGGUCACUUGAAUAGACAUAUAAUGACAAGUUCAUGGAGUACUUACUAUCAGCCAUUGAUACGACAUAUUUGUUGUAGGAAGAGACAGUGCAGUAGCACAGAAAGAAAAUUACUUAUAAGGAAAGAGAGAUUUUAUCUCUCAACUUUUAACUUCUUGAAAGGCUUCAAAGCAUUCAGGCACAGGUAUUGAAAGCUUUAUUAUGUGGAAAAAUUGGAUUUUCUGAUUUUGAAAUUCAGUUAUGAUAUUUGUAAAGGUUUAGAAGCUAUUAAUCGAAGGUCAGUUUCUGUGCUGAGUAGGUUUUGUUGGCUCCACUGGAAAAAUACUGGAAACAUGUAGCUCUCUGGAAAUAUAAAAUGAAAUAACUCUGUAA